CGUGGGUAACCUGCCCAAGAGAUCGGGAUAACACCUGGAAACAGAUGCUAAUACCGGAUAACAACAGAUGAUGCCUAUCAACUGUUUAAAAGAUGGUUCUGCUAUCACUCUUGGAUGGACCUGCGGUGCAUUAGCUAGUUGGUAGGGUAACGGCCUACCAAGGCGAUGAUGCAUAGCCGAGUUGAGAGACUCGAUCGGCCACAUUGGGUACUGAGACACGGGCCCCAAACUCCGUACGGGGAGGCAGCAGAC
rnacentral:rRNA from 1 species